GACGAACGCUGGCGGCGUGCCUAAUACAUGCAAGUCGAGCGGAAGUUGAAGAGCUUGCUCUUCAACUUUAGCGGCGGACGGGUGAGUAACACGUGGGCAACCUGCCCUGCAGAUCGGGAUAACUCCGGGAAACCGGUGCUAAUACCGAAUAGUUUUCGCCACCUCCUGGUGGCGUACGGAAAGACGGUUUCGGCUGUCACUGCAGGAUGGGCCCGCGGCGCAUUAGCUAGUUGGUGGGGUAACGGCCCACCAAGGCAACGAUGCGUAGCCAACCUGAGAGGGUGAUCGGCCACACUGGGACUGAGACACGGCCCAGACUCCUACGGGAGGCAGCAGUAGGGAAUCUUCCGCAAUGGACGAAAGUCUGACGGAGCAACGCCGCGUGAGUGACGAAGGUUUUCGGAUCGUAAAACUCUGUUGUGAGGGAAGAACAAGUACCACUUAACUACUGGUACCUUGACGGUACCUCACCAGAAAGCCACGGCUAACUACGUGCCAGCCGCCGCCGUAACAC
rnacentral:rRNA from 1 species